GGUUGAUACCAAGAACUGAUUAUGUGGGACAGUCAGGGAACUAAUUCACAUUGCUCCCUUUAAAAGUGCUGAUUAUAGAAGGAAGACAGAAGCUUUGGACAUGGGGAUUACCCCAGCUACAUCUGAUCUGGCACGAAACGUGAUUUGUGCUGAAGCAGCUCUUUUUGUGCCCCUCUGUCAGGUGCCUGUUUAGGUUGUAAAAACAACCAGCUGCCAGGGCAUAUAUGCUUGACAGCUGAGAAAAUGCAAUUCCCACUUGGGGCAUACUCAGAUAUCAUCAAGAUAUACUGUACGGUUCAUUUAAUGGAAUAGAAGCCAGCACAACCGAGAUGCUGAUUAAAGUGAACAAUUGCAGAAGAUUUCCUAUUAUGCUAAGCUUUGAAA